AUAAGAAUAGUUAUACUAGGCUGGGCGCGGUGGCUCAUGCCUGUAAUCCCAGCACUUUGGGAGGCCAAGGUGGGCAGAUCACGAGGCUGGUCUUGAACUCCUGGGCUUAAGCAAUACACCCGUGUUGGCCUCCCAAAGUGUUGGGAUUAUAAGCAUGAGCCACCACACCCAGCUCAUUUUACAUUUCCACUUGUUAAAUCAAACUGAAAUCUGGCCUGAGAAAGCUUCUGUACUGCCAUACUUGUGUCCUUGCAGAUGAAUCGUAACCUAGCAUAGUAGGUAGGCAGACUGAAAACCUAACUUAGCAGUAGGCUUCUGUAACAACAGCUGUGUCUCAGCCAGCUCCUGCAGCCAGACUUCAACCACUCACAGGCAGCAAACUAUUCAAACUGUGUUCGGAGAAGGCGAAUUCAUCUGGCUGUUAAUGUACCUCACUUCUGCUUUCUGUGGCCACUUUUCCUUUUCUGUCCAUAAAUUUUCUCUGACCACACAGCAUCCCUGGAGUCUCCCUGAGUCUGCUGUGAUUCUGGGACCUGCACCAUUUGUGAAUUUUUUUUUUUCCUUGAUCAGCUAAACUAUUCAAUUCAAUUUGUCGGAAGUUUUUAACAUACCAAUGGUGCACCAAGGUUCCGAUUUCUCCACUUCCUCAUAAAUAAGUCAUUUUAAAUGGCUUUUCAGUAUUCCAAUAUUUGGAAGUAUUAAUGUUUCUACCAAUUUUCUAUUUUUGGACAUUGAGGUUAUUUCUUCUUUUUUUUUUUUUUUUUGAGACAGAGUCUCACUCCAUCACCCAGGCUGGAGUGCAGUGGCCUGAUCUUGGCCCACUGCAACCUUCACCUCCCGGGUUCAAGCAAUUCUCCUGCCUCAGCCUCCUGAGUAGCUGCGAUUACAGGUGCAUGCACCACCACACCCAGCUAAUUUUUGUAUUUUUAGUAGAGAUGAGGUUUCACCAUGUUGGUCAGGCUGGUCUCAAACUCCUGACCUCAGGUGGUCCACCCGCCUCGGCCUCUCAAAAUGCUGGGAUUACAGGCCUGAGCCACUGCACCCGGCCUCAUCUUCUUGAUAUUAAUGUUGCUUUAACAUCUUUGUCCCUGUGUCUUUUUUUUUUUAAGACAGAGUCUCAUUCAUUCCGUCACCCAGGCUGGAGCUUAGUGGCAUGAUCUUGGCUCACUGCAACCUCUGCCUCCUGGGUUCAAGUGAUUCUCCUGCGUCGGUCUCCUGAGUAGCUGUGUUCCUGGGUCUUUCGAUGGUUAUUUAAUACUUCCCUACAGUAAUGUCCUGUGCGUACAUGCUAAGUGUGAUGAAAUGGUUGGCACAGUUACAUCUUUUGAAAGACAUUGCCAACUUACUGUUCAGAAAAGUGAUAUGAGGUCAUAGCAAUUUUAAGAAGUCCUCAUUUAUACAUUUCCUUAUUAAUCUCGGUUGGUGUCUCUUCAAUCUUUCCUCACACUUUUCUUAGGUUUUUACUGAAUCAUGAGUCUACUACAUUUAAAAAUUUUAAAGACUCUUUAGAAACAGGGUCUCGUUUUGUUGCCCAGGCUGGAGUGUGGUGGUAUGAUUAUAGCUCCUCAUACUCCUGGGCUCAAGUGAUCUUCCCACCUGUGAACCCCCAAAAUUUGAGAAAGGUCUCAGUUAAUUUAGAAAGUUUAUUUUGCCAAGGUUGAGGGUGCAUACCCGUGAUGAUAUACGAGUUAAAAAGAAAUUAUUUAGGCAGAUACUGAGGGUAAGAAAGUCCUUGGUAAGGUUUUCUUUUAAUGAAAAGCAGUCCCCAAGCAUUUUCUUUUCUAACAAAGAGAAGCCUGUAAAAUCAAGCUGCAGACAUACACAAGCAAGCUGGAAGCUUGCAAAGGUGAAUGCUGGCAGCUGUGCCAAUAAGAAAAGGCUACCUGGGGCCAGGCAGGUCCAACAUGGCAGCUCCAUCUUCCCUUUCCUUGUCAACCAUGUGCACAGUAAGGAACAGGCAACAUAGUGUCUGCCAAGUAGAGACCAAUUUGCAUAAUAAAAGAUGAGGGUAGGGUGGCCAGCUUCUUUGCAUGCUAUGUAAACAUUAUGCCUGGUCCAACCAAUCUUUGGGCCCUGUGUAAAUUAGACACUGCCUCCUCAAGCCUGUCUAUAAAACCCUGUCCAUUCCACCGCAGGCUGGAAGACCCACUGGGGCACCCCUCUGUCUCUGUAGGAGACAGCUAUUCAUUUUUCUCUUUCUUUCACCUAUUAAAGCUCCACUCUUAACCUCA